ACGCACCUGUAAUCCCAGCAACUCGGGAGGCUGAGGCACGAGAAUCGCUUGAACCCAGGAGGCAGAGGUUGCAGGGAGCCGAGAUUGUGCCACUGCACUCCAGCUUGGGCUACAGAGUGAGACUCAGUCUCAAAAUAAAAUAAAAUAAAAAUAAAGCAGUAUCCUGUUUCACAGGAAAACAGUAUCUUGGCUGCUCAGAGCAGUCAUGUCUCCUCAGUGCCUAAGUUCAUGCAGCAGCUGGCAUCCCGGGUAAUGAAUGGUGUAUUGGCCACCCAGAACGAUCAUGCACCCCAAUACCUAAGCUGAAGCAAUUGUCUGCAUUCCAAGGAAAUAGUACCUAGGCUGCCCAGAACAGUCAUGCUCCCAGGCCUAAGCUGAACUGGCACAUUGCCCCACCAAGGAAUCGGUGUCCUGGCCAAUCUCAGCAGCUGUGCAUCUCUAGGCUGAGAUGAGGUAGGACCCUGCAUCCCAGGGAAACAGAACAGUGGCUGAGCUGAGACACCCUACCCUACAAGCCAAACAACUCCAGCACUCUGCUUCCCUGGGGCUGGAAUAUCCCCCUAGAGCCUGAGCUGCUGAGACACCCUCUCCCUGGAGAAUAAAAUCAUUGCUAUGCUGUUUCCUGCCCCAACCCACGUCCCAGAUGACAGCUGUGCUCCAUUAUUCUGGGGUACUUGCUACCACUGCACCUGCUCUCACAGAGGCUGGGAUACUGCCAAGCCCCACCACCCCAGGGUCUAGAGUCACCACUACACAGUGGCUCAUCCCCUGGGACCUCAGUUCCCACUGAGCUCUAUUGGCUCAGGUUCCUGAAUCGCAGCUAUACCCUGAUCCCCAGACCCAAACCUCUAGAGCACCCCUUCAUUGCCAGAGUCAGGUUAGUGCUCUGCCUUGUCCCCCAUCCCCACUAGAGUUAGAAUCACAGUUAUAAAAUGCAGUCCUUGGGGCCCAAGCCCCUAGUGGGGUGCCUCAGGGUUGCAGAUCCUAGCUCUGGGUAACCUACAUCUAAACUUCCCACAGAGAGCAAAGCUGCAUCCCAAGACCCGAAUGCCAUAAUAGGCUUGAGAGACCCUGAGACUAGGACCCUCACCCCACAGCCACUCCAAGCACCUGAACAUGGAACUCACAGGAUAUUAACAACCUACACUGCUGCCACCACUGCCACAAACAGCCUAGGCCACCAAGGUGCCCGUGUUUUUUUAUUGGUGACAUUCAAUGCAGCUGAAGAAGCUGCACAGACUAUACCACUGCACGUAUCUGGAAACAGAGUCACUACAUCUUCCCAACUGGCACACUAAACUCAACUAGAGGUGAAAGUCUUUUACUGCAAAAUCCACUCCAGAAAGUUUGGAAGAGGCAGCCAGGCAUGAUGGCUCACACCUGUAAUCCCGGCACUUUGGGAGUCCGAGGCAGGCAGAUCACUUGAGGCAGGGAGUUCAAGGCCAGCCUAGCCAACAUGGCGAAACCUGUUUCUACUAAAAAAUACCAAAAAAUAAUUAGCCAGCCGCAGUGGUGAGCACCUGUAAUCCCAGCUACUCGGGAGGCUGAGGCAGGAGAAUCCCAGCUACUCAGGAGGCUGAAGCAGGAGAAUGGCUUGAACCCAGGAGGCAGAAGUUGCAGUGAGCUGAGAUCACGCCAUUGCACUCCAGCCUGGGUGACAGAAAGACUCUGUCUCAAAAAAAAAAAAAAAAAAAAAUUUAGCCGGGUGUGGUGGCACAUGCCUGCAGUGCCAGCUACUCGAGAAGCUGAGGCACAACAGUCACUCGAAACUGGGAGGCUGGGCAACAGAGUGAGAUUUUGUCUCAAAAAAAAAAAAAAAAGUUUGGAAGAGGCAAUUGUCUUACCGGGUGCAUAGACAUCAACACAGACGCACAAGAAACAUGAUAAAGCAAGGAAAUAUGACACCACCAAAGGAACAUAAUAACUGUAUAGUAACAGACCCCAGUAAAAAGGAAAUCAAAAAAUUGCUGGAAAAAGAGUUGAAAAUAAUGAUCUGAAGGAAACUCAGUGAGAUACAAAACAUACAGCUAGAUAAUUUAACAAAAUCAGAAAAACAAUUCACAAUAUGGCUGAGAAAUUCAACAAAAAUAGAAAUAAUUUUAAAAGAACCAAACAUUUAAAACACACAAUUCUGAGUUUAUUUGCUUGCCUGCCAGACAAACGAACACACAACAUAGACAAAAUUUAUUAAAUAGUUAACUGGAAGGUCAGAGUGGAAGAUCAAGGGGCUCUAUCCAUUAGAAAGGGGGCUUCAAGGCGGUUAUACUAAUGAUUGAAAACUCCCUUUGCAAAUAAAACAGAAUGAGUCCAUAAGUCUAAACAUGAUUGGCUAAAUCCAGUCCAUUGGUCAGAAAGUAGUCUGUAGUUUGGUCCAAUAAUAUUUUGUACAUACCAGAUUACUCAAAAUUCUAAUUGUAGGAUGUUAGUUUGCUGAAAGUUUAUGGUUGUUUAAUGACUUUACCUGGUUGAAAACAGUUUUUGAUGAAACCCAGCACUCAAUUUUGACCUCUCCUAGGUAUAUGUAGCUGUAAGUGGAAAUUGUUCCUUUUAUAGGUAUGAUAAUGUGAUUUAUGCCAUGUGGAAUUUGUGUAUAUGUGUGUGGGACACACCUGAUUUAGCUUGGAGAAGGGUAUAUAUUGGUAAGGGAAAAUGAAUGACAUUACAAAUAUAGCACUCUCAACAAGUAAAAUUUAUCAAAUGCUAAAGACAAGAACUGGGCUUUAGAGUAGGGAAGACAUUGUUUUGCCUUGUAAUUUAGCCACCAGUUACCUGGACAUAUUCAUGUAAAUCUGUUUUUUCAUAUAAAGCAGGGACAAUAUCAGUCUUACCAGUUAAUGGGCAGAUUAAAUAAGAUAAUGUAUAUAAACCAACUCCUUCAGUGGCCUAACUCUCUUUAUGGAAUGAGCAUCAAAUAGCUGAUUGUUUUCCUCUGCUGCAAACCGCUGCCCACAUGUACCCCAUAUAUGAGUGCCUCCACUGUCCCUCCAUACCCUUCUGAACUCUUUGCCUCUUUCUAAGAAUGUUCCCUCCACAUUUGCACCACUCCCACUUUUCAUGUGUAUUCCUUUUUAUUUCUCCUUUCUCCCCUCAAUAUUUAACAUACGAUUUGCAGGUCCAAAAGUAGCCUUUAUUCAUAUUCUUCAUAAUAAAUUAGAUUCCAUUAUAACUUUUUUUUUUUAAAAAAAGAACCAAACAAAUCCUGCAGCUGAAGAAUUCAAAAAGGUUCUCAUUGAGGCACAUUAUAGUUGAAUUGUCAAAAGUCAAAGAAAAAGAGAAUCCUAAAAACAGCAAGAGAAAACUGUCAAGUCACAUAUAAGGGGAUUCCUAUUAGACUAACAUCAGAUUUUUCCACUGAAACCUUACAGGCCAUGAGAGAAUGGGAUGAUAUAUUCAAAGUGCUGAACAAAAAAUCUGCCAGUCAAGAAUACGACACCUAGUAUUUGAGAAAUGAGGGAGAAAUAAAGUCUUUCCCAGGCAAGCAAAAACUGAGGAAAUGUAUCACCAAUGGAGCAGCCUUACAAGAAAUGCUCAAGGGAUUGCAACAUCUGAAAGUGAAAAGAUGAUAAUCACUGUCAUGAAAACACACAAGUAUAAAACUCACUGCUAGGCAGAUACACAAAAAAGAAAGCAAAGAAUCAAACCUUAUUACUACAGAGAACAACCAAAUCACAAUGAUACACAAUAAGAAAGGAAGAAAGGAACAAUGGAUAUACGAAAACAAUCAGAAAACAAUUAACAAAAUGACAGAAGUAAGUCCUAACCUAUCAAUAAUAACCUUGAAUCCUUGAAUGUAAAUGGAUUGAACUCCUUCUUAAAAGAUAAAGCCUGAGGGUCUGAGUGCAGAGGUGUUUACAACUUACUGAACAUAACCAGUUACAGAUUUCUUUGUUCCUUCUCCACUCCCACUGUUUCACUUGACUAGCCUUAAAAAAUACAUGUGAAUGUUUCGAAAAGAUACGAACUGACUGAAUAGAUUUUUAAAACCCAUGACCCAAGCUGGGAGCGGUGGCUCUCACCUGUAAUCCUAGCAUUUUGGGAGGCCAAGGCAGGUGGACCACUUGAGGUCAGGAGUCUGAGACCAGCCUAGCCAACAUGGUAAAACCCUGUCUCUACCAAAAAUACAAAAAAAUUAGCCGAGUGUGGUGGUAGGUGCCUGUAGUCCCAGCUACUCAGGAGGCUGAGGCAGGAGAAUAGCUUGAACCUGGGAGGUGAAGGUUGCAGUGAGCCAAGAUGGCACCACUGGGAGACAGAGCAAGACUCUGUCAAAAAACAAAAAAACCCAUGACCCAAUUACAUGCUGCCUGUAAGAAGCUCACUUCACUGUAAAAACACAUAUUAAACAGAAAGUGAAUGGGUGGAAAGGAUAUUUCAUGCAUUCUUGGCACGUUGGCUCAUGCCUAUAAUCCCAGCACUUUGGGAGGCUGAAGUGGGAGGAUCACCUGAGCCCAGGAGUUUGAGACCAGCCUGGGCAAUAGAGCAAGACCCUGUCUCAACGAAAAAUUUAAACAUUAACUGGACAUGAUGGUGCACACCUGUAGUCCCAGUUACUUGGGAGGCUGAGGCAGGAGGAUCAUUUAAGCCCAGAAGUUCAGAGAUGCAGUAAGUCAUGAUCACACCACAGCACUCCAGCCUGGGUGACAGAGCGAGACCCCAUCUCACAAAAUAAAUAAUUAAAAAGAUAUUCCAUGCAAACAAAAACAAAAAGUGACUGGGAGUAGCUGUACUUACAUGAAAUAAAACAGACUUUAAUUCAAAAACGAUAAAAAAAGACAAAGAAAGUGAUUAUAUAAUGAUAAAAGGAUCAAUUUAGCAAGAGGAUAUAACAAUUAUAAAUACAUGCUUUAGCUCUCCCUCUCCCCUCUCCCCUCUCCCUCUCCCCGCUCUCCCUCUCCCCACGGUCUCCCUCUCCCUCUCUUUCCACGGUCUCCCACUGACGCCGA
rnacentral:lncRNA from 10 species